rnacentral:rRNA from 1 species
GAUGAACGCUGGCGGUAUGCUUAACACAUGCAAGUCGAACGGUGUCUUCGGACAUAGUGGCGGACGGGUGAGUAACGCGUGAGAAUCUAACGAUUGGUUGGGGACAACCACUGGAAACGGUGGCUAAUACCGAAUAAGCCCACGGGUGAAAGAUUAAUUGCCAAUUGAAGAGCUCGCGUCUGAUUAGCUAGUUGGUGAGGUAAGAGCUUACCAAGGCGUCGAUCAGUAGCUGGUCUGAGAGGACGAGCAGCCACACUGGGACUGAGACACGGCCCAGACUCCUACGGGAGGCAGCAGUGGGGAAUAUUCCGCAAUGGGCGAAAGCCUGACGGAGCAAUACCGCGUGAGGGAGGAAGGCUCUUGGGUUGUAAACCUCUUUUCUGUGGGAAGAUAAUGACGGUACCAGAGGAAUAAGCAUCGGCUAACUCCGUGCCAGCCGCCGCGGUAAU